AUUGAACGCUGGCGGCAGGCCUAACACAUGCAAGUCGAACGAGUGGCGGACGGGUGAGUAAUGUCUGGGAAACUGCCCGAUGGAGGGGGAUAACUACUGGAAACGGUAGCUAAUACCGCAUACCAUCGGAUGUGCCCAGAUGGGAUUAGCUAGUAGGUGGGGUACAGGCUCACCUAGGCGACGAUCCCUAGCUGGUCUGAGAGGCUGACCAUCCAAACUGGAACGGGGACAAGGUCCAGCCUCCGACGGGAGGCAGCAGUGGGGAAUAUUGGACAAGGAGCGAAAGCCUGAUCCGGCCGUGCCGCGUGUGUGAAGAAGGUCUUCGGAUUGUAAAGCACUUUAAGUUGGGAGACGUUACCAACAGAAUAAGCACAGGCUAACUUGGUGCCAGCAGCCGCGGUAAUAC
rnacentral:rRNA from 1 species